GGGUUGUGAGGUUAAGCGACUAAGCGUACACGGUGGAUGCCCUGGCAGUCAGAGGCGAUGAAGGGCGUGCUAAUCUGCGAUAAGCGCCGGUAAGGUGAUAUGAACCGUUAUAACCGGCGAUACCCGAAUGGGGAAACCCAGUGUGAUUCGUCACACUAUCAUUAACUGAAUCCAUAGGUUAAUGAGGCGAACCGGGGGAACUGAAACAUCUAAGUACCCCGAGGAAAAGAAAUCAACCGAGAUUCCCCCAGUAGCGGCGAGCGAACGGGGAGGAGCCCAGAGCCUGAAUCAGCAUGUGUGUUAGUGGAAGCGUCUGGAAAGGUGCGCGAUACAGGGUGACAGCCCCGUACACAAAAGCGCAUGUGCUGUGAGCUCGAUGAGUAGGGCGGGACACGUGGUAUCCUGUCUGAAUAUGGGGGGACCAUCCUCCAAGGCUAAAUACUCCUGACUGACCGAUAGUGAACCAGUACCGUGAGGGAAAGGCGAAAAGAACCCCGGCGAGGGGAGUGAAAAAGAACCUGAAACCGUGUACGUACAAGCAGUGGGAGCACCCUUCGGGGUGUGACUGCGUACCUUUUGUAUAAUGGGUCAGCGACUUAUAUUCUGUAGCAAGGUUAACCGUAUAGGGGAGCCGUAGGGAAACCGAGUCUUAACCGGGCGUUAAGUUGCAGGGUAUAGACCCGAAACCCGGUGAUCUAGCCAUGGGCAGGUUGAAGGUUGGGUAACACUAACUGGAGGACCGAACCGACUAAUGUUGAAAAAUUAGCGGAUGACCUGUGGCUGGGGGUGAAAGGCCAAUCAAACCGGGAGAUAGCUGGUUCUCCCCGAAAGCUAUUUAGGUAGCGCCUCGUGAAUUCAUCUCCGGGGGUAGAGCACUGUUUCGGCUAGGGGGCCAUCCCGGCUUACCAACCCGAUGCAAACUGCGAAUACCGGAGAAUGUUAUCACGGGAGACACACGGCGGGUGCUAACGUCCGUCGUGAAGAGGGAAACAACCCAGACCGCCAGCUAAGGUCCCAAAGUCAUGGUUAAGUGGGAAACGAUGUGGGAAGGCCCAGACAGCCAGGAUGUUGGCUUAGAAGCAGCCAUCAUUUAAAGAAAGCGUAAUAGCUCACUGGUCGAGUCGGCCUGCGCGGAAGAUGUAACGGGGCUAAACCAUGCACCGAAGCUGCGGCAGCGAACGUAUCACCCAAGACAACUUUACGGAGUUGACGAUUGACGGAGCGAAGCGACGUCAAAGCGUUCAUUAAAGUCGAGUUGGCUUAGGGAUACGUUCGUUGGGUAGGGGAGCGUUCUGUAAGCCUGUGAAGGUGUGUCGUGAGGCAUGCUGGAGGUAUCAGAAGUGCGAAUGCUGACAUAAGUAACGAUAAAGCGGGUGAAAAGCCCGCUCGCCGGAAGACCAAGGGUUCCUGUCCAACGUUAAUCGGGGCAGGGUGAGUCGACCCCUAAGGCGAGGCCGAAAGGCGUAGUCGAUGGGAAACGGGUUAAUAUUCCCGUACUUGGUGUUACUGCGAAGGGGGGACGGAGAAGGCUAUGUUGGCCGGGCGACGGUUGUCCCGGUUUAAGCGUGUAGGUGUGUGUUCCAGGUAAAUCCGGUUCACUUUAACACUGAGGCGUGACGACGAGGCACUACGGUGCUGAAGCAACAAAUGCCCUGCUUCCAGGAAAAGCCUCUAAGCAUCAGGUAACACGAAAUCGUACCCCAAACCGACACAGGUGGUCAGGUAGAGAAUACCAAGGCGCUUGAGAGAACUCGGGUGAAGGAACUAGGCAAAAUGGUGCCGUAACUUCGGGAGAAGGCACGCUGACACGUAGGUGAAGUGAUUUACUCAUGGAGCUGAAGUCAGUCGAAGAUACCAGCUGGCUGCAACUGUUUAUUAAAAACACAGCACUGUGCAAACACGAAAGUGGACGUAUACGGUGUGACGCCUGCCCGGUGCCGGAAGGUUAAUUGAUGGGGUCAGCGUAAGCGAAGCUCCUGAUCGAAGCCCCGGUAAACGGCGGCCGUAACUAUAACGGUCCUAAGGUAGCGAAAUUCCUUGUCGGGUAAGUUCCGACCUGCACGAAUGGCGUAAUGAUGGCCAGGCUGUCUCCACCCGAGACUCAGUGAAAUUGAACUCGCUGUGAAGAUGCAGUGUACCCGCGGCAAGACGGAAAGACCCCGUGAACCUUUACUAUAGCUUGACACUGAACAUUGAGCCUUGAUGUGUAGGAUAGGUGGGAGGCUUUGAAGUGUGGACGCCAGUCUGCAUGGAGCCGACCUUGAAAUACCACCCUUUAAUGUUUGAUGUUCUAACGUGGACCCGUAAUCCGGGUUGCGGACAGUGUCUGGUGGGUAGUUUGACUGGGGCGGUCUCCUCCUAAAGAGUAACGGAGGAGCACGAAGGUUGGCUAAUCCUGGUCGGACAUCAGGAGGUUAGUGCAAUGGCAUAAGCCAGCUUGACUGCGAGCGUGACGGCGCGAGCAGGUGCGAAAGCAGGUCAUAGUGAUCCGGUGGUUCUGAAUGGAAGGGCCAUCGCUCAACGGAUAAAAGGUACUCCGGGGAUAACAGGCUGAUACCGCCCAAGAGUUCAUAUCGACGGCGGUGUUUGGCACCUCGAUGUCGGCUCAUCACAUCCUGGGGCUGAAGUAGGUCCCAAGGGUAUGGCUGUUCGCCAUUUAAAGUGGUACGCGAGCUGGGUUUAGAACGUCGUGAGACAGUUCGGUCCCUAUCUGCCGUGGGCGCUGGAGAACUGAGGGGGGCUGCUCCUAGUACGAGAGGACCGGAGUGGACGCAUCACUGGUGUUCGGGUUGUCAUGCCAAUGGCACUGCCCGGUAGCUAAAUGCGGAAGAGAUAAGUGCUGAAAGCAUCUAAGCACGAAACUUGCCCCGAGAUGAGUUCUCCCUGAGACUUAGAGUCUCCUGAAGGAACGUUGAAGACGACGACGUUGAUAGGCCGGGUGUGUAAGCGCAGCGAUGCGUUGAGCUAACCGGUACUAAUGAACCGUGAGGCUUAACCUUACAACGCCGAAG
rnacentral:rRNA from 1 species